UCAAGAUUACAGGCGUCCGUCUACUUCAAUCUCCUCAAAUGGUGACCCCGACGUGAUUGCGGGCCGAGAAAACGCUGGAAUUGCUGGAAGUGCGUCCGGAGAAGACUCUAGCCGAACGAUCGUCUAGCCAGCUGGACUGAGCGGACAACCUUCUCCCGGGAGAUCAAUCACCCUGCUCGUUUGGAAGUAAGGAAGGUGUAGCUCUGCCACCUCGAGGUACCCCAUCUCCGGGAAACUACAAGAAGAGUGUGAGGAGCGGUGCGAUGACCCCAACAGCUCUGAAAGGAUCCCAGAACGGCGCCAAGAAGGAUGUCUGGCAGAAUUGCCAGCCCGAACAGCUGGAAGUGCCGGAGUGGAUGUCUCAACAAUAGAAACCAUUCUACUAUGGAACUCUCAGAUUUCGAAGGAAAGAUAGAUAUUCAUCUUCCUGCACACAAAAUGUUUACCUUGCUACAAAAUAUACAACUAGAAGAAAAAGAAUUGUGUGCAGAGUUACCUACUGAUGGUCCUACAGUAUUUACGGAUGGCAGUGGAAAAACAGGAAAGGCAGUAGUAGUUUGGAAAGAAGGUCAGGUAUGGAAAAAUCACAUUGUCACAUGUGAAGGCUCCCCCCAAGUGGUGGAACUUCAAGCUGUAAUAGAAGUAUUUAAAAAGUGGCAGGAUGUUGAGGUCAAUAUUAUUGCUGAUUCUUUAUAUGUGGUAGGUGUAGUAAAACGCUUGAGACGGGCUUAUUUGAAAGAAAUUGAUAACAUCACAUUGUUUGAAAAAUUUAAGAUGUUGCUAUUUCUGUUAAACCAACGGACAAAGUGUUAUUAUAUAAUGCAUGUGCGAAGUCACAUCAGUUUGCCUGGAUGGAUCACAGAAGG